rnacentral:rRNA from 1 species
UCCGCCUGUUUAUCAAAAACAUCGCCUUUUGUAUUUCAACAAAUAAGAGGUCCCGCCUGCCCUGUGACGAUAUGUUUAACGGCCGCGGUAUUUUAACCGUGCAAAGGUAGCGUAAUCACUUGUCUUUUAAAUGAAGACCCGUAUGAAUGGCAUCACGAGGGUUUUACUGUCUCCUUUUUCCAGUCAAUGAAAUUGAUCUCCCCGUGCAGAAGCGGGGAUAACAACAUAAGACGAGAAGACCGUGUGAAGAUUAAAGAUGAAAAGCAGACCAAACUAAGCACCCCAAACAAAAGAACUAAAGCACUGGACCCUGCCCUAAUGUCUUCGGUUGGGGCGACCACGGAGAAACAAAAAACCCCCACGUGGACUAGGAGUACAUUUUUCCUCUUCCCUCUCCUACAACCUAGAGCAACCCCUCAAAGUAACAAAACCUUUGACCAAACAUGAUCCGGCCACGCCGAUUAACGAACCAAGUUACUCCAGGGAUAACAGCGCUAUCCCCUUUUAGAGCCCAUAUCGACAAUUUUGGUUUACGACCUCGAUGUUGGAUCAGGACAUCCUAAUGGUGCAGCCGCUAUUAAGGGUUCGUUUCCAAACGGAC